rnacentral:misc_RNA from 1 species
GCAUGUAAUUCUUACUGUCUGAUGUGAAAUUCUGUGUGAAACUGUGCGCAGGUGGUGUUUCACCAUUCUGCGUGCAUUUUCGAGGGUGAUUGGUAAUUUGCCCUUUGCUUUGCAAAGUGCAUUUGCUGAUUGCCAUCUAUCUUUGUAAAGAACCCACCUUGCUCUAUGUACGAAAA